rnacentral:rRNA from 1 species
UACAUAAGGAGCAAGCGUUGUCCGGAAUCAUUGGGCGUAAAGGGCGCGCAGGCGGCCUUGCAAGUCGGAUGUGAAAGAUCAAGGCUCAACCUUGACAGGUCAUCCGAAACUGUAAGACUUGAGUGUCAGAGGGGAAAGUGGAAUUCCUAGUGGAGCGGUAAAAUGCGCAGAUAUUAGGAGGAACACCGGUGGCGAAGGCGACUUUCUGGCUGACAACUGACGUUGAGGCGCGAAAGCGUGGGGAGCAAACAGGAUUAGA